rnacentral:misc_RNA from 1 species
GAUGAAGAACGCAGCGAAAUGCGAUACGUAAUGUGAAUUGCAGAUUUUAGUGAAUCAUCGAAUCUUUGAACGCACAUUGCGCCCGCCAGCACUCUGGCGGGCAUGCCUGUCCGAGCGUCAUUUCAACCCUCAGGGCCCCUUCGGGGGACCUGGCGUUGGGGAUCGGCCCGCCCCCGUGCGGCGCCGUCCCCGAAAUAUAGUGGCGGUCUCGCUGCAGCCUCCCCUGCGUAGUAGCACACCUCGCACUGGAGAGCGGCGCGGCCACGCCGUGAAACCCCCAACUUCUGAAUGUUGACCUCGGAUCAGGUAGGAAUACCCGCUGAACUUAAGCAUAUCAAUAAGCGGAGGA